rnacentral:sRNA from 1 species
GAAACGGAGUGGGACAAUUAUAAGCAUGACAAAUGAAUUUCGCAUUGGGGCCGGUGUUCUGAAUUCCCUGCCCAUGCGCAUGCCCAUGCCCAAGUUCCCAGGAAAAACUGUCAGUGGAGGAUCAGUGGCGUUGAGACAGAUCCGAAAGAUCGGAGGUUCAGAGGAUCGGGUCGCAGAUGUUGCCGCUGGGCACACACCUUCAACUCGUUGAGAGAGUUUUUUGCAUCUCCGGCUCGUUCCGUUCCGUUUCGUUUCGUUACAGUUCGUGCGUGUUGCGUUUUAUAUGAAUAAUUGCAUCAAGAUUUCUGCCAACUCUUUUGCGGUCGUCUGUGGCAGCUGCCCCAACGACCCAACUGCCCAACUGCACUGGACACAUCAUCUCUGUGGCCGUUCAAGCGGGGCCACCCGCCCCCUUAUCAUCACACAAUAUCCUUUGGCAUGUCGACGCUUUUUGCAUCUUUCAUGACGAAAGCAUUUCAUGUUUUUGUUACCCGCCCUUUUUUUCGUUGAAGUCUUCACAUCAACCCAUUUUGCAACCAGCCAUGGCCGUCUUCACACAGAAACACGCACAUUUUUGGCAUUCAUAAAAUGUUGCAACGAAACCAGCAAACCAGAAGCAACAAAAAAAAAAGGAAAGGACACAAACGGGACAUGAAAUUGUUUUGCACAUAACAGCAAGCAAACAAACAUGAAAAGGGAUAUGGAUGCGGAUAAACGAAUAUGAUUGCCGCGGCAUGUAAAAAAAGCAGAACUGAAAUACUCUUGCCGCUUAAAACAAACAGGCAUAAAAAAAAAAUGAAACAGCCAAAGGAGCACGAACUGGGCAUUUUGUUUGGUUUUUUUUAUUAUUAUUAUUAUUCUCGCCCUUUGAAAGUAAAUUUGAAAAAAUAUUUUGAUAAAACCAAAAUGUUAUUUGUCUCGUUAAUGUAAUGAAAACGACUUGCUAAAAGGAUUAAAUUUGCAUUGCAUUUAAGCGAAAAUUGUGG